CCCCAUCCCCCUGCAAUUGGUAUUGAUUGACAUGUUGCCUUUGAAUCUGGAGGUCUGCAUAUGGCUGCCUGAGGUUAGACCUCCUACAUGAGUGAAAACAUCCCUCAAACUUCUCCAAGGCAAGGAUGGCUCUUUGCAGAGCAUACAUGAACAGAAUAAGCUUCUACCAACAAAUAUCUUUGUGAAUCCCACCUGCUCCUUCGGGAAUAAGGUAUAUCCUGAGGCUGUUGCAGCAGAUUUCUCGAUUAUUCUCAGAAGGCAUUUCUCCCUCCACUAAACGCACCAUCGUGAGUCAUUUGUUGCUAAAUCACCCUAUUUUUGUGCUCAAAGUGGCCUAAUCAUUAUGGGAAUAAUGGCAAGGAAAUGAGGUUUGGUUGGGUUGUUGUUUUUAGCAAGUGAAAAAUGCAUAUGUGGCUUAAAUUAACAGUAAAUGUACUCUAAUGGGAUUGGCACCCAGAGGCUCUAAUUAAGGGUUAAAAUCAAACAAGACGCACAAUUUUGGGACUUAAUUGCUCCCUGGUUUGUGCGUCAUUGCUUGUGUUUAGAAGGAGAUGGGAGGGGGAAGGGGUAGU